AAAUUGAAGAGUUUGAUCAUGGCUCAGAUUGAACGCUGGCGGCAGGCCUAACACAUGCAAGUCGAACGGUAACAGGAAGCAGCUUGCUGCUUUGCUGACGAGUGGCGGACGGGUGAGUAAUGUCUGGGAAACUGCCUGAUGGAGGGGGAUAACUACUGGAAACGGUGGCUAAUACCGCAUAACGUCGCAAGACCAAAGAGGGGGACCUUCGGGCCUCUUGCCAUCAGAUGUGCCCAGAUGGGAUUAGCUUGUUGGUGAGGUAACGGCUCACCAAGGCGACGAUCCCUAGCUGGUCUGAGAGGAUGACCAGCCACACUGGAACUGAGACACGGUCCAGACUCCUACGGGAGGCAGCAGUGGGGAAUAUUGCACAAUGGGCGCAAGCCUGAUGCAGCCAUGCCGCGUGUAUGAAGAAGGCCUUCGGGUUGUAAAGUACUUUCAGCGGGGAGGAAGGUGUUGUGGUUAAUAACCGCAGCAAUUGACGUUACCCGCAGAAGAAGCACCGGCUAACUCCGUGCCAGCAGCCGCGGUAAUACGGAGGGUGCAAGCGUUAAUCGGAAUUACUGGGCGUAAAGCGCACGCAGGCGGUCUGUCAAGUCGGAUGUGAAAUCCCCGGGCUCAACCUGGGAACUGCAUUCGAAACUGGCAGGCUUGAGUCUUGUAGAGGGGGGU
rnacentral:rRNA from 1 species